UACGUAGGGUGCGAGCGUUGUCCGGAAUUAUUGGGCGUAAAGAGCUCGUAGGCGGUUUGUCGCGUCGACUGUGAAAACCUACAGCUUAACUGUGGGCUUGCAGUCGAUACGGGCAGACUUGAGUUCGGUAGGGGAGACUGGAAUUCCUGGUGUAGCGGUGAAAUGCGCAGAUAUCAGGAGGAACACCAAUGGCGAAGGCAGCUCGCUGGGACGGUACUGACGCUGAGACGCGAAAGCGUGGGGGAGCGAACAGG
rnacentral:rRNA from 1 species